ACAAAUAUUCUGAGACAAGACCUGGGGUCUGGCUCUAGUUAAAGGGGACCCUAACUCUGGCCAGAGACAGACCUCUGUUGCCGUUGUGGACCUUUGUGUUCAGCUGUUUGCCCAUGACUCAGAACUAAGGACUCUAGCACAUAGGAGUCAGAAUUCUAACCUCUGCUGAGGCUGCCUUGGCCCUGGCUCAGUCUGAGGGAGAGAGAGGAGUGCUUUUGGUUUCGAUCACUUUCUUUCAUGGUGGUUUAAAUCUUGCUCUUUCAAGAAAUUCACGAUUGUCCUUACUCUCCUCUCUUUCCUCUUUUUUGGAAUCUUAAUUUCCUAGUCAUUUAAAUUGGUCUGUUUUCCAACUCUUUGCCCCACCCCUACCUUUACUCUAAUCCGCUAAUCCCAUUUAAGCAAAGUAUUAGUUCUUUUUUCUUCUUUGUUUUUCUCCCUGUAGUUUUCUUGUUGCCUUUGGAAGUUUACCCUUUUUACCAAAAGUGACUUUUGCUUAUUUGGACAUUUAAAAAGUAGUGUCUUCUGGUUUUCAUGAGACUGGUUUCUCUCACUUUUUAAAUCACUAGACUUCUUGAAAGAGAUCUAUACUUAGUCAGUACUUAGUGUCUUCACAUCUCAUUAAUUCCUCAACCCAUUACAGUCUGGCUUCCACCAACACCAUGCAAUUAAAAAUGCUCUCUCACCAGUAUCUUUCCAAUUGGCCAGUUCAGUGGCCCCACUUUUCCUUGUCACCAUACUUGACAUUAAUGCAACAUUUGACACGGUUGACCAGCCACUCCUUAUGGAAACUCUCUUCUCAGGCUCUUCUGUUUCAUCAGGUCUUGCCGCUUUGAGCUUUCUUGGGCUUCCUUUGCUGCUCUCCUCCCGCCUUUUGAUGUUGUUUUUCUAGGGCAUAUAUUUACGGUUUGCUCACACAGGACACUCUUACUCUGCUCUGUUGUUCUCAAUAAUGCCAUAUGCAUUGAAGAAGUUCUCCAGCUUAUAAUUUCUUGGCUGAAGUCCAGAUCAUAUUUCCUAGAGCCUAAAGGACAUUUGCACUCGUUUUCUCUGAACGUGAUGGAUGAUGACUAUUAUUCUUAUUGUCGUGAUUAAAUUCUCUGUGCCUUUGCUCUCACUAUUUUCUUGGCCUGCCAUGUCCCUCCUUCACCUUCCUUGCUUGGAGCACUCUUGCUAAUUAUUUAGACCAGCCUUCCUGCCGCCAUCUCCUCUUCAGAACAUUGUCAGCCUGAGCAUGAGUUUGUUACUUCCUUUCUUCUUUUGAAGUGUUUUGAUAGUGAUAAUGACUAAUAUUAAUUGAAUUCUUAGGUGCCAAUCUCUAAUCGAAGCUCUUCUCAUGGAUGAUUGCAUUUAACCUGCACCUCUGACGCAGGUGCUCUUUUCAUCCACCAAUUUUCGAUGAGAAACCUAAGACUCAAUGUAAUAACCUGUAGGUUCCCAUAAUAAGGUUUCAGAUUCAGGCAUCCUGAGUCCAGAGUCCUUAUCCUGCCUCCUCAAAUAAUAGUAGCUUACUUUGUGUGUGGAUUUCUGUGUAUUAUCCUCAUUUAGUCCCCAAAACACUGUUACAAAGUAGUACAAUUAUCAUAUCUAUUUUUUGAAUGAGGAGACUGAGGCACAAAUAAAUUAUGCCACCUUGCGCAAAGCUGCGUAGCCCCCGAAGUAGCCAAAUCAAGAUGCCCUUUCAUUUACCUCUGUUAGAGAACUUCCCAAAUUGCUCUAUAAUCAUAUAACUACCUAGGCAUCUUUUAUUAUUCUGUCAGCUCCAUGAGGGCUUCAAUUUUGUUCUUUCCAGUUUUUUAUUCCCUAUAUUUAGUCACAAAAUAGAAUUUCUGUAAAUGUGGAGAGAGAGACAUAAAUAGAUUGGCUUUUGUUGUCUUUGGGUCAUUUUUCUAGGACAAUUGAUAUGUACUCACUUUGUUCUAUAUUUUCCAUAGCCAAUCAUUUGUUUGUAUAUGUAGCAUUGUGAGGCAAAAUGUGAAAAUGCUGUCUCUGCAAACUUUCUUUUAUGAGUAAAAAUAGUUUCAGUUCCCAAAGGUAAAAUAAUAGCUGCCCUGACAGCCUGUAUCUGCUUCCUUCUCCCUUUAGCAGUUUUUAGCUAUAGUGUCCAGAUGGAAGGUUUAGUUGAAGAGACCCUUAGUCUAUUCAGAGAGAGAUACCAUAUUUCACAGAAUAUAAGCCAAUGUCAAAUUUAAGUCACGUCACUGUUUAAAAGUGGCCAUUUUCUGUUGAGUGAGGCAGUAUCUGCCCAUUUCAGGUACUUGCUAGCACUAUUACCCGCUCCCUUCUUUCCUUCCUCCUCCUCUCCUCUCUUCUUCCUUCCAAUAGCUGAAUUUUACUGCAUGUUGAUGAUGUCACAUAAAAUCUCUAUCUCUUCACUCUGCCCAAAACAGGUUGGCUUUGUAAUUUUUAAACCAUAAAAUACAAUACUUUGCAUCAAUAAGGCACAAUAUAUAGUUUUAUUUGUUUAUAAAAUUACAGAAGUAUAGCAUACUUGUUUUAUGCACCUCUCUUUAUUGCCCUUUGCAAAUACUGCAUUUUUUUUUUUUUAAUAAAAUUGAAGGUUCAUGACAGCCCUGACUCAGGAAUGUCUAUUGGCACUAUUUUUCCAACAGCAUUUGCUCACAUCAUGUCACUGUGUCACAGUUUGGUAAUUCUGACCAUAUUUCAAGCUUUUUAAGUUAUUAUAUUUAUUAUAGUGAUCUGUGAUCAGUGAUCUUUGUUGCUACUGCAAUUUGCUGAAAGCUCAAAUGAUGGUUAGCAUCUUUUGGCAAUAGAUUAUUUUUAAAUUUACAGGACAUUGUAGACUGCAGUAUAGUGUAAAGAUAAUUCUUAUAUGUACUAGGAAACCAGAAAAAUCAUUUGACUCACUUUACUGAGAUAAUUUGCUUUAUUGCAGCAUUCUGGAACCAAACCUGCAGUAUAUCUGAGGUAUGCUUGUAAUACAUAUUUUAUUGUAGAAAAUAUACAGAAUAUAAAGUUAUAUGUAGUAAAAUUUAAAUAUCUUUCUUUGCCAUGUAUCUCCAGUUCUACUCCUUUACUUUUGCUUGCAACACUUUUUCUGUGCAUUAUAAAAAAUACACACACAGUGAGCUUUUAAUCUGUCUAAACUGGAAUCACACCAUAUAUAUUAUCUUCAGCACAUUUUACAUGUAAUAAUGUAUUUUUCUAUGUCUGUGUUAAUAAAUCUACUUUACUCUUUUAUUUAUUUUUUUUCUUUCUUAUGGCCACACCUGUGGCAUAUGGAAGUUCCUAGGCUAGGGGUUGAAUCAGAGCUGUAGCUGCCAACCUACACCACAGCCACUGCAAGUCCAGAUCCAAGCCGCUGUCUGUAACUAUGCUGCAGCUCACUGCAGUGCCUGCAAUGCCAGAUCCUUCACCCACUAAGCAAGGCCCGCGAUCGAACCUGCAUCCUCAUGGAUACUGGUCGGAUUCUUAACCUACUGAACUGCAAUGGGAAUGCCUACUUCGAUCUUUUUAAUGGCAACAUAAUAUUUCAUGUUAAGGAGUAUAUAUCUUACAGACCAGUUUCCCUUAGAAGAACAUGAGGCUUGGGUUCCACCCUGCUAAAUAUGCACAUGUCUUAGUGCUCACAUGCAAGAAUUCUAUAGCUAAGUUCCUAGAAAUAGAGUUGCUGGGUCAGGGAGCACAUGCUGUCAUUUUGAUAGAUUCUCCUUGUGGUAUAUGAUUUCUAGUGACGGCCCCCACUGAAUCACACCUCUCAUAUUCAUAUCCUUAGAUGGAACCUUCUAUUAAAUCUGGGCUACCUGUCCUUACAAGUUUAAUAAACAUGUUAAAUCUAUAUAUUUUAACCAACAUUGAAAUUAAUCUGAAUCUGUAACUUCUUCCUCUCCAUGAGCAUGACAAAGACUGGUAACAUGCUUGUACUUUUCCUUCUCCCCCUCAUCCCCAUUUAUUUUGAUUAAAUCAUUUGGAGUUUUCUAAAUUUUCUAACUUUUAACUCUAUUUCUGAUGACAUUUCCUAAUAACUCCAUUGUGCUUCACAGCCACAUUAUAAAAAACAAUUUAGACUUAACCAUAAGUGCUUCCCCUCAUCCCCUUGUGAUAUGUUAUACUUUUUGAAAAUUGUUCUUGUAAGUUUCUCUUUUGUAUUUUGCAUUUUUUCCCAGAAGAGAUGUUGGGUGGUAAGGUUUAUAAAUCAUCGUGUAUAUAACAAUGUUUUAUUUUUUAAUUCUUACUGGAUUGAUAUUUUAUCUGAUUAUGAAAUUCUAGGUUCAAGAUAAUUCUUUCUUAGCUUUUUGAAAGCACUUCUGUAUUAUCCUUUAGUAUUCCAUCACUGUUAUAAGAUAUGAUGGCAAACUGGCAGUUGUUCCUUAGGUAACCCAUUUUUUUUUCCUCCCUGGAAAAGGUUUGGAUUUUCUCUUUGUCCUUGGAAUUUAAUGAUCUCACUAGGAUUUGUUUGUAUUUUUGUUUGUUUGCUUUUAAAAAUUUUCUGACUCAGCACUUUGUUGGCCACUUUCAGAAAGAACAUUCAGGUUCUCACAUCAUAAAGUUCUCCACGCAAGAUUCUGAAAUUCUUUUAUCAUUAUUUCUUGCUUUUUAUCUUAAAAAGAAAAAAAAGGAACUAACAGGCUGUGAGAAACACCAAAACAAUAGAAAAAGAAGGAAAAGUUCCUGUUGUGGCUUGGUGGGUUACAAACCCAACUUGUAUCCAUGAGGAUGUGGGUUCGAUCCCUGGCCUUGCUCAGUGGGUUAAGGAUCCGGCAUUGCCAUGAGCUAUGGUGUAGGUUACAUGAGCUGUGGUACAGGUCACAGAUCCCAAGUUGCUGUGGCUGAGGCAUAGGCCUACAGCUGCAGCUCAGAUUUGAUGCCUAGCCUGGGCACUUCCGUAUGCUCCAGGUCUGGC
rnacentral:lncRNA from 1 species